rnacentral:rRNA from 1 species
GGUUAAGCGACUAAGCGUACACGGUGGAUGCCCUGGCAGUCAGAGGCGAUGAAGGACGUGCUAAUCUGCGAUAAGCGUCGGUAAGGUGAUAUGAACCGUUAUAACCGGCGAUUUCCGAAUGGGGAAACCCAGUGUGAUUCGUCACACUAUCAUUAACUGAAUCCAUAGGUUAAUGAGGCGAACCGGGGGAACUGAAACAUCUAAGUACCCCGAGGAAAAGAAAUCAACCGAGAUUCCCCCAGUAGCGGCGAGCGAACGGGGAGCAGCCCAGAGCCUGAAUCAGUGUGUGUGUUAGUGGAAGCGUCUGGAAAGGCGCGCGAUACAGGGUGACAGCCCCGUACACAAAAAUGCACAUAUUGUGAGCUCGAUGAGUAGGGCGGGACACGUGGUAUCCUGUCUGAAUAUGGGGGGACCAUCCUCCAAGGCUAAAUACUCCUGACUGACCGAUAGUGAACCAGUACCGUGAGGGAAAGGCGAAAAGAACCCCGGCGAGGGGAGUGAAAAAGAACCUGAAACCGUGUACGUACAAGCAGUGGGAGCACGCUUAGGCGUGUGACUGCGUACCUUUUGUAUAAUGGGUCAGCGACUUAUAUUCUGUAGCAAGGUUAACCGAAUAGGGGAGCCGAAGGGAAACCGAGUCUUAACUGGGCGUUAAGUUGCAGGGUAUAGACCCGAAACCCGGUGAUCUAGCCAUGGGCAGGUUGAAGGUUGGGUAACACUAACUGGAGGACCGAACCGACUAAUGUUGAAAAAUUAGCGGAUGACUUGUGGCUGGGGGUGAAAGGCCAAUCAAACCGGGAGAUAGCUGGUUCUCCCCGAAAGCUAUUUAGGUAGCGCCUCGUGAAUUCAUCUCCGGGGGUAGAGCACUGUUUCGGCAAGGGGGUCAUCCCGACUUACCAACCCGAUGCAAACUGCGAAUACCGGAGAAUGUUAUCACGGGAGACACACGGCGGGUGCUAACGUCCGUCGUGAAGAGGGAAACAACCCAGACCGCCAGCUAAGGUCCCAAAGUCAUGGUUAAGUGGGAAACGAUGUGGGAAGGCCCAGACAGCCAGGAUGUUGGCUUAGAAGCAGCCAUCAUUUAAAGAAAGCGUAAUAGCUCACUGGUCGAGUCGGCCUGCGCGGAAGAUGUAACGGGGCUAAACCAUGCACCGAAGCUGCGGCAGCGACACUAUGUGUUGUUGGGUAGGGGAGCGUUCUGUAAGCCUGUGAAGGUGUACUGUGAGGUAUGCUGGAGGUAUCAGAAGUGCGAAUGCUGACAUAAGUAACGAUAAAGCGGGUGAAAAGCCCGCUCGCCGGAAGACCAAGGGUUCCUGUCCAACGUUAAUCGGGGCAGGGUGAGUCGACCCCUAAGGCGAGGCCGAAAGGCGUAGUCGAUGGGAAACAGGUUAAUAUUCCUGUACUUGGUGUUACUGCGAAGGGGGGACGGAGAAGGCUAUGUUGGCCGGGCGACGGUUGUCCCGGUUUAAGCGUGUAGGCUGGUUUUCCAGGCAAAUCCGGAAAAUCAAGGCUGAGGCGUGAUGACGAGGCACUACGGUGCUGAAGCAACAAAUGCCCUGCUUCCAGGAAAAGCCUCUAAGCAUCAGGUAACAUCAAAUCGUACCCCAAACCGACACAGGUGGUCAGGUAGAGAAUACCAAGGCGCUUGAGAGAACUCGGGUGAAGGAACUAGGCAAAAUGGUGCCGUAACUUCGGGAGAAGGCACGCUGAUAUGUAGGUGAAGCGACUUGCUCGUGGAGCUGAAAUCAGUCGAAGAUACCAGCUGGCUGCAACUGUUUAUUAAAAACACAGCACUGUGCAAACACGAAAGUGGACGUAUACGGUGUGACGCCUGCCCGGUGCCGGAAGGUUAAUUGAUGGGGUUAGCGCAAGCGAAGCUCUUGAUCGAAGCCCCGGUAAACGGCGGCCGUAACUAUAACGGUCCUAAGGUAGCGAAAUUCCUUGUCGGGUAAGUUCCGACCUGCACGAAUGGCGUAAUGAUGGCCAGGCUGUCUCCACCCGAGACUCAGUGAAAUUGAACUCGCUGUGAAGAUGCAGUGUACCCGCGGCAAGACGGAAAGACCCCGUGAACCUUUACUAUAGCUUGACACUGAACAUUGAGCCUUGAUGUGUAGGAUAGGUGGGAGGCUUUGAAGUGUGGACGCCAGUCUGCAUGGAGCCGACCUUGAAAUACCACCCUUUAAUGUUUGAUGUUCUAACGUUGACCCGUGAUCCGGGUUGCGGACAGUGUCUGGUGGGUAGUUUGACUGGGGCGGUCUCCUCCUAAAGAGUAACGGAGGAGCACGAAGGUUGGCUAAUCCUGGUCGGACAUCAGGAGGUUAGUGCAAUGGCAUAAGCCAGCUUGACUGCGAGCGUGACGGCGCGAGCAGGUGCGAAAGCAGGUCAUAGUGAUCCGGUGGUUCUGAAUGGAAGGGCCAUCGCUCAACGGAUAAAAGGUACUCCGGGGAUAACAGGCUGAUACCGCCCAAGAGUUCAUAUCGACGGCGGUGUUUGGCACCUCGAUGUCGGCUCAUCACAUCCUGGGGCUGAAGUAGGUCCCAAGGGUAUGGCUGUUCGCCAUUUAAAGUGGUACGCGAGCUGGGUUUAGAACGUCGUGAGACAGUUCGGUCCCUAUCUGCCGUGGGCGCUGGAGAAUUGAGGGGGGCUGCUCCUAGUACGAGAGGACCGGAGUGGACGCAUCACUGGUGUUCGGGUUGUCAUGCCAAUGGCACUGCCCGGUAGCUAAAUGCGGAAGAGAUAAGUGCUGAAAGCAUCUAAGCACGAAACUUGCCCCGAGAUGAGUUCUCCCUGACUCCUUGAGAGUCCUGAAGGAACGUUGAAGACGACGACGUUGAUAGGCCGGGUGUGUAAGCGCAGCGAUGCGUUGAGCUAACCGGUACUAAUGAACCGUGAGGCUUAACCUUACAACGCCGAAGAUGUUUUG